AGCGAACGCUGGCGGCAGGCUUAACACAUGCAAGUCGAACGCCCCGCAAGGGGAGUGGCAGACGGGUGAGUAACACGUGGGAACGUACCCUUUGGUUCGGAAUAACUUGGGGAAACUCAAGCUAAUACCGGAUAAGCCCUUAUGGGGAAAGGUUUACUGCCGAAGGAUCGGCCCGCGUCUGAUUAGCUAGUUGGUGAGGUAACGGCUCACCAAGGCGACGAUCAGUAGCUGGUCUGAGAGGAUGAUCAGCUACACUGGGACUCAGACACGGCCCAGACUCCUACGGGAGGCAGCAGUGGGGAAUAUUGGACAAUGGGGGCAACCCUGAUCCAGCCAUGCCGCGUGAGUGAUGAAGGCCUUAGGGUUGUAAAGCUCUUUUACCCGGGACGAUAAUGACUGUACCGGGAGAAUAAGCCCCGGCUAACUUCGUGCCAGCCGCCGCCGUAA
rnacentral:rRNA from 1 species